UCCUCCCUCUUUCUUCGUGCUUAACACAUGCAAGUCGAACGGAAAGGCCCUGCUUUUGUGGGGUGCUCGUGUGGCGAACGGGUGAGUAUCACGUGAGUAACCUGUCCUUGUCUUUGGGAUAACUUCAGGAAACUGGGGCUAAUACCGGAUAGGAGCUCCUGCAGCAUGGUGGGGGUUGGAAAGUUUCGGCGGUUGGGGAUGGACUCGCGGCUUAUCAGCUUGUUGGUGGGGUAGUGGCUUACCAAGGCUUUGACGGGUAGCCGGCCUGAGAGGGUGACCGGCCACAUUGGGACUGAGAUACGGCCCAGACGCCUACGGGAGGCAGCAGUGGGGAAUAUUGCACAAUGGGCGGAAGCCUGAUGCAGCAACGCCGCGUGCGGGAUGACGGCCUUCGGGUUGUAAACCGCUUUCGCCUGUGACGAAGCGUGAGUGACGGUAAUGGGUAAAGAAGCACCGGCUAACUACGUG
rnacentral:rRNA from 1 species